UAAUACAGGGAGGUAGUGACAAUAAUAACGAUACAGGGCCCUUCGGGUCUUGUAAUUGGAAUGAGUACAAUGUAAAUACCUUAACGAGGAACAAUUGGAGGGCAAGUCUGGUGCCAGCAGCCGCGGUAAUUCCAGCUCCAAUAGCGUAUAUUAAAGUUGUUGCAGUUAAAAAGCUCGUAGUUGAACUUUGGGCCUGGUUGGCCGGUCCGAUUUUUUCGUGUACUGGAUUCCAACCGGGCCUUUCCUUCUGGCUAACCUUGGUCCUUGUGGCUCUUGGCGAACCGAUUUUUACUUUGAAAAAUUAGAGUGUUCAGCAGCGUAUUGCUCGAUAUAUAGCAUGAAUAUAGAUAGACGUUUGGUCUAUUUUGUGGUUUCUAGACAUCGUAUGAUAUAGGACGGUCGGGGGCAUCAGUAUUCAAUUGUCAGAGGUGAAAUUCUUGGAUUUAUUGAAGACUAACUACUGCGAAAGCAUUUGCCAAGGACGUUUUCAUUAAUCAAGAACGAAAGUUAGGGGAUCGAAGAUGAUCAGAUACCGUCGUAGUUUAACCAUAAACUAUCCGACUAGGG
rnacentral:rRNA from 1 species